ensembl:lncRNA
CAGGAACUCACUGUUAAUAACAAUAACUCACACACUGCAUGAUUGUGAACAGAUGCGUCUGCACAGGAGGAAGCAAAACAGAGUUUAUUUUUAAAAGAGAGGAAGGGUCUCUGGACUUUCAUAUCUGAACACCUGAGCAUUGGCGCCACCUGCUGCUCGAGAUUAAACUCAGCGCAGUUCCGUUUCCGGGCAGUAGGCGGCGCUUCCGGCUUCAUCAGAUUCUCCUGAAGCAGAAGAACACACAGAGCUCGUGAGGCGGAAGUACAGCGAGUUCAUGCGCGCGGUUAGUUUCUGAUAUCUCUCCGCAGGUGAUGAGACUCGGUCCGCGGCGGGCUCUGAGCGGCGGCGCGCUGUGUUCGCUCGUACUCGGAGGAGUUUUAGGAAGAAUGUCGUCGUCAUCGGUGUCUGGGCUCCCGAACCGGACUGUGAUCUGGGAGACGUCAGAGCUGUCUGCGCAUCUGCACUCCUCCCCGUGGACUCCAGGGGUCGCUGUCGUCACCCAUAAGAGCUUCAGCAGCACCGCCAGCCUCUUCCACUUACCUGAGGAUGCAUUUCUGCAUCUGCUCCUGGGCGCAAGAUCAGUCGCGCACCUGCUGUGCGAGAGUCUGGCGGUGCAGCGCUGCGCUUUGGUCUACACUCCGCACAAACGGGCCCGACCCGAGCUCCACGUGGUGCCUCUCCACGGCCUGCACUCGGAGUGGAAACCUCACCUCGCUGCGGAGGAGGAUUUCCAGGCGUACGAUCCCGGAUACAUCAGCUCCAAGAGCGGGCCGCGCUGGACAGAUGAGGAUCUAGACUCCAUCAGGAGCCAAAUCCGGGCUCAGCUGCCAAACCCGAACGCGGCGCCCAACUACACCUUUCUGGGCGAUCCGUCCGACCUCGGGCUGUUCCCACGCAUCGUGCGUGGAGAAGAGAAGCAGUGGAGAGUUUGGGAAGAUGACGAGCAUGUGGCCUUCCUCACACCGUUCCCCAACACGCCCGGACUGACCGUUCUGGUCCCACGGAAGCCCCUCUCCAGUGACAUCUUCCGGCUGGAGGAGGGUGACUAUCGGCGGCUGGCGCUGGCCUCCCGGAAGGUGUCCGGGCUUCUGGAGGCGGGGCUUGGCGCCUGGGGGGUGGGGCUUAUUUUUGAGGGCUUUGAGAUCGAUUACGCUCAUGCUAAGCUGAUUCCGCUUGUCUCUCCGCCUGAUGAAGCGGAGAUGAGCCUCAGCUGUCCGGCUCCGGAGUUCUUUGAACGCUAUCCGGGCUACGUGACGUCCGUCAGCGGUCCGCCAGCCAGCACGGAGAGUCUCCACGAGAUCUGUGCCAGAGUUACCCAGCGCUAA